CUAUUGCGUCCUUGACGGCUGAGAUGUGGCGCUGGAGGUAGUCUAGCCUUUUCCAGUCAUCCAAUGGAUCCGGCAUGCUUUCGUCGCCUUCCACGUCAGCGAUUCCUAAGUGCAUCCAGGAAAUCCAUUUCUCUCCAAAUCCCUUUGCUCUGAGUAUAUCAAUAAUUGUCUGAUGUUCAAUAGUGUCAAAAGCUUUCUCAAAAUCCAGUUUAAUCACCAUCAUCUCUUCUUUUGAUUUAUGACAUUGAUGGAUAUAUUCAUAUGCCCCACCAAGGCAGUCCUGGAUCAUUCUAGCUUUGAGGAACCCAUGUUGAUUGAUAUGUACCAUCUAGAGAAUAAUUCUUUGUAAUCUAUUGGCCAGUAGUUUGGUAAUUAUCUUAAGUACUGCAUUGAGCAGUGAGAUUGAUCUGAAAUCAUUGGGUGAGACUGGCACUUCCUUUUUUGGAAUCGAUGUAAUGAAGGAUGUAUUGAUGCUUUCAAGAUUUAUAUUACCAGCAUGAAAAGCCAUGAUGAGCUCAGUGAUAUCCACUUUAAUGAUGUUCCAACAAGCUUUGAUGAACUCAUUAUUAAAUACAUCAGGACCUGGAGAUUUAUCUGUAGGAAGGUUUUUUACCACUUCAUCAAUUUCCUCCUGUGUAAAAGGCUUUUCAAGAUCUUGGAAGAUCUCAGACUCAACAAUAUGUCCAUAUAGAUCAUUCAAAUCAAAGUGCAUUGUGUGACCAUUAGAUUGUCCAAAUGUUUUUUUAAAGCCUCCCAAAGAAUAGUUGUUUUCCUUCAUGGUCAGUAAUUUCCACUUGAUCAUCAUUUAGAAGCAUAGCAAUUUUAUUAUGUCUAUGAUUAAUAGUGGAUUUGGUAUGAAAGAAUUUGGUGUUCUCAUCACCAAAGUUAACACGUUUUAUUUUCCCUCUUUGCUUCCAAUAAAUCUUGUGAUUCUUAAGUAAUGUCAAUAGGAAUUCCUUCAGCAUAGACCUACAAUUCCCUUCAAAUACUAAGAGAUAUUUAUAUUCCUCAAUCAAGUCCCAGAGGAAAAUACAAGCAUUUAAACCCUCAAACUGCUUUUUAAGAAAUGACAAACUCUUGGCCCACAAUUUUAAAGAUCUUCACAAAUUCUUAAACUUUGCAUUGAUUUUUUUGGCAGGAUCAGUGUAACCCACAGGAAUAUUCCAGGCUGCUUGAACAAUGUCUUUGAAAGAGUUCUGUUUCAACCAAUAAUUUUCAAAGCUGAAUACCUUGGACUUGGGAAUGCAGACCAAACCAAUAUUCCACAAUACACAAUGUUUAUUUGCAGACCAAUUUCAGAAGUGUCGCUUCUAUUCAUUUCCGUUCUCUAAUCUACUAGUAAAUUAAGUCUGAACCGAGAACUGAACCUAAAUUCCGGUCCACCGAAUCUUUGGUUAGGAAUUUUCCCAAUGACCAAUCGGCCAUCCUUUUUUGAAGACCGAAUUUCUUCAAAAGCUGAAGAACCGAACCGAACGGUUCAAUUACAUAGAAUGCCCAGCUCUCCAAACGCCUCCACUUUCUCCCAGUUGAACAUGUGAUAUUUCUUACACCGAGUCUUCUUGCCAAAGCAAUCUUCUCCCAAAACAAUCAAAUAUUUUCUUUACUCCUUUUGGCAAGCCAUAAAAGGAAAGCAUGCACAACGGUUUAUAUUUUCUAGACUACUUACUCUGGAGCAAAGCCCCGGUCCUUUAUUCAAAACCAAAUAGUAUGUACAGGGGUCAAGUAGUCAGCUACAUAUACAAAACUUACCUACUUAUUACCUAACAAAAAGGAAAACUAAAGGAGGCUGGCAAUCUAAGCCAGAAGAUUCGGUCUAUCACAAGCCCUCAUUCUACAAGAAAGAAGGGUUAUAUCAUGUACUCCCUCUGUUCCGAUUUACUCGUCGUGGUUUUAGUUCAAAUUUGAACUAAAACCAUGACGAGUAAAUCGGAAUGGAGGGAGUACAAAUUUACAACACCAUGAGCCAAAAGUGGGAUAGCUCUGAUUGUCCUUCCAUUUAUGACAAUCCAUAUAUUCCAUUUCCAAGCAGAGUCAGCAUAACUUCGAAGAAGAAAGGAUGAGCAAACCUCAUGUUUGCCCCGACAAUGCAUGGUCUGAUCUCAGACCCAUGUGCCGGAUCUAGCUAUCUCCAAGUAAUUGCUGAUCCUAAGGCUGAACUAGCGGGAGAAGAAGAGAUGAAGUCUGUAACACAUUACACAUGGGUUUAUUGCUCAAAGAAGCAGUGAGCAAAGAGAUCAUGCCUCCAAUACUAAUUUCCUUGCCAAUAUUCUGAUCUUAAAAACAUUAGAAAACAAGCACAAGGCCUCACUUUAUAUAGAUAAAUCGACGAGUUCCACAAGAACACGAUUAUUGAACACAAACGUUCAGCAAGCAAAAGGGAAAUAGUUCGGGCUGGGGCGGCAGCACAGAUAAGCCCGACAUAAAGAAAAAGAACACAACCUACAGAGCCCGCCGGAACCGGAAGCUGGCGAGCCACACCCUCCGGAGGCCAAGAAGGAGCCCAUCCAAUACGCCGUGAUCCCGACGCCAAGCGAGCAUCCGCCAUUACAGAAUCGAUCGAGGCUACUAAUUCAACAUCCCUGGCAGUGAACUGAAACGGCCACAUCCUCCCUUCAUUUUAUUGCACCCAUCCGAUUAUUAAUUUCUUCAAACUAACUGCAUGCCAUGCAUCCAGCCUUGGAUUAUUUGUUCGAACAUAGCACCACUUCGUUCUCCAUCAUACAGAAACGGAAGCAGCUGUCAUGGUUGCGUUGUUAUUGGUGGUCUUAAGCAAGGGUUUUGGGACGGAAUUGAACUUGGAGAACCACUUGGCCGACUUCUUGAGCUUGCGCUUGUUGCCGUCAUUCUUGUCGAUGUAGACAAGGCCGAACCGUGAGCUGUAGCCGAGGCUCCAUUCGAAGUUGUCGAUCAGACCCCACGUCAAGUGGCCCCGCACGUCCGCGCCCUGGCUGAAAGCACACAUACAUUUGAGUAAUCAGUGUGCUAUAUUAGGGUAUGUAUGUAUGUAGGUAGGUAAGAGUACAAAAUAAAUGAAAAAAAUAGGUAGGGUUUUAGCGUGGGUAGUUACUCUAUUGCGUCCUUGACGGCUGAGAUGUGGCGCUGGAGGUAGUCUAGCCUCUUCCAGUCAUCCAAUGGAUCCGGCAUGCUUUCGUCACCUUCCACGUCAGCGAUUCCUGCACACACACAAGUUAGAGGUAAUCCAUCACACUUCCUUUAAAAAAAACCUCCAAUGAACCAUUACAUCAUAUCUCCAUGGAUUAGGUUCUUGUCUGAUUUGAGGGAACUAGUGCCACUCGAACACAAAGAUUGUUUACAGAUUAGUGUGUGUCAAUCUUCAUGAGGAUUAGGGUAAUGAGGAUCAUGGAAAUUUGACUAGUUACUUUUGAUGUCAGAUUUUCAACCUUUUUAUUAACGGCAAGUCAACUAAAGUUUGAUAUGAACCGAUGACUGGUCAUUCGAUUACUACAAAAUCCAAUGCUAUAUACACACACACAUAUCACUACUUACCGUUCUCAGUGAUGAAGACAGGUGGGUUUCCGUAUUUCUCCUUCAUGAUCAGAAGGAGGUCCGUUAGGCCUUUUGGGUACAUGUAGAUCCAAUAAGUCCCGGU
rnacentral:lncRNA from 1 species